ACAGAACAGAGUUGGGAGAUUGAGCAUAGCCACAAUGAAAGGGCAGCCUACCUUGGUAGAAGGAAUACUGGCUCUGUAAUCAGAAGCCUUGGGUUCAAAUCCCACCUUGGACACUUGCUACCCCUCAGUGUCCUAUUCAAGAUCAAGUGACUGUCAGAGGAACGAUAACGAAAAAGAAAGAAAUUAAAAUGAGGCCGGCUGUGAGAGGCACUGCUUAGCUGAUUUCAGAGACCAUGGAAUCCAGCCCACACACCAAAGUGAUCCUUGCUGUCACCUCCUGACAAGCCAUCUUCCAGCCUUGUGUUUGAAGAACUCCAAGGAGAAGGCAUCGCUGGUCUCCUGACAUAGCCCAUCUCACCAUGGGAUAGUUCUAAUUGUGAAGAAGCUUCUGGGGGAUAUCGGCCUAAACUGGCCUCUUUGCCAUUUCCACCCACUGCUGUUGGUUCCAACCAUUCAAUAUGUACGUACCAGGCACCUAUUAUAUCCAAAUCCCUGUGCUCAGCACUGGGGGAGACAGGAUGGCAACCAGGACACAGUCACUGCCCUCCCAACCCAGGGGCACAGACAGUGGAAGAGAGCGCCCUUCCGUCAGGCACGGUGGCGUUCCUGAUUCCGGGAGUACAGAAGAAGACAAUUGAGCUAUGCCGCCGCUGCCCUCUUAGGUCGGCAGGUCUUGAAAAAUCCCAUCAUGAACCUCUGAAGGAACAAAUGUGGCAGGGACAAGGGGGUGGCUUUGCUCAAACCAGGUGGUGUGAGGUCUGAAAAGCCUUCUGUUCUUCACAUCGGAACAAGUGUGAAGGUCCAGUGUGGGAGGUUUGCCUCUCAGCUGCUUUAUUAGGUCAGGUAUCAAAUAGCAGAUGGAUGUCCAGUAUUGGAUGGUAUUCAGGGAUCUGUGGUGAUGGUAGAAUUGUUAUUUCUUCCUCUUCUUCUGCUUCCCUCUUUUCCUUCUCCUCUCUCUCUCCCUCUCCUUUCCCUCC